GACAGAGGGUGCGAACGUUGUUCGGAAUUACUGGGCGUAAAGCGCACGUAGGCGGCCUGACAAGUCGGGUGUGAAAGCCCUGGGCUCAACCCAGGAAGUGCACUCGAAACUGCCAGGCUUGAAUAUGGAAGAGGGUCGCGGAAUUCCCGGUGUAGAGGUGAAAUUCGUAGAUAUCGAGAGGAACACCGGUGGCGAAGGCGGCCAACUGGACAGAUACUGACGCUGAGACUCGAAAGUGCGGGGAUCAAACAGG
rnacentral:rRNA from 1 species